UGGUACCGGGCAAAUGACAUAGUCUUGAACUCUUCAUCAAAGUUAUCAGAGUCUUGUGUUGGUACUUAACAGACGCUACC
rnacentral:rRNA from 13 species